GCGCAGGCGCAGCCGGGCCCCACUGCCUUCCCAGAGGUGGGAGGGACAGGGCCAGCGGAGCUGUCCUACCCCCCGCCCUGGCUGAAGACUGGCUCCUCACUCAGACAGCAGGAUGCCUGCUUUUUUCCACUCAGUUAUUUGGUUUGAGACAGGGUUCACUAUGUAGCUCAGGCCAGCCUUGAAUUCUCAACCCUCCUGCCUCAACCUCCCACGUGGUGGGAUAACAGGUAUGCGCUGCCGCGCCCAGCUAAAACGUUUUCCACAAUGCAAGAAAAGACUCGAAUUUCUGCUCCUGGAUAUUAUAGCGGGUGGCAGGCUUGCCUCGGACCGACAGAGCCUUCUCACAAGGCCUUCAGAAUCAAGGGAUGCCUGGCCAAGAAACCAAAGCAGACUUGUCCCAUGCUUCAGUGGAUUCAGAGGUAUAACUCCAAGAAAAGACAGUGGAGGGGACCAAGUGGGGACCAGACGGGACUGCUCUCCAGCUGCAGGGCGUUCACUCUGGAUGGAGGCCACCACCUGUUCGGUCUUCACCAUAUCAGCAUAUCGAGCUCUGAAAGUCCCAUUGGCUGGACAGCUGCACAUGUGUAAUCGGGAACCUUCAUUUUCCUUUGUCUAUGAUCAGCAUUAAUGAGUCAACAAUAAAUGUUUGAAACUUUAAAAAA
rnacentral:lncRNA from 1 species